rnacentral:rRNA from 1 species
AGAGCGCAGGGUGGAUGCCUUGGCACUAAGAGCCGAAGAAAGACGUGAUAAGCUGCGAAAAGCUGCGGGGAGGAGCAAAUAUCCAUUGAGCCGCAGAUAUCUGAAUGGGGAAACCCGGCUGGACGAACUCCAGUCAUCCAUACGCCAAUCCAUAACGUAUGGAAGGGAACCCGGUGAACUGAAACAUCUAAGUAGCCGGAGGAAGAGAAAGAAAAAUCGAUUUCCAAAGUAGCGGCGAGCGAAAUGGAAAGAGGCCAAACCAUGGUGCGUGCACCGUGGGGUUCGGACCGCAUAAUUGAUUCGUUGAUCCUAGCAGAAAGGUUUUGGGAAAGCCUGCCAGAGAGGGUGAAAGCCCCGUAAGCGAAAGGAAAGACGACAUGGCGGAAUCCAGAGUACAUCGAGACACGAGAAACCUUGAUGGAAUGAGCGGGGACCACCCCGUAAGCCUAAAUACUCCUUAGUGACCGAUAGCGCAUAGUACUGUGAAGGAAAGGUGAAAAGGACCCCGGGAGGGGAGUGAAAGAGAACCUGAAACCCUGUGUUUACAAGCUGUGGAACAUCUUUAUAUGAUGAACCGCGUACUUUUUGUAGAACGGUCCGGCGAGUUACGCGUGCCGGCAAGGUUAAGCACUUAAGGUGUGGAGCCGAAGAGAAAUCGAGUCUGAACAGGGCGUUCAGUCAGCACGCGUAGACCCGAAACCGGGUGAUCUACCCAUGUCCAGGUUGAAGUUGCCGUAAAAGGCAAUGGAGGACCGAACGCACAUCCGUUGAAAAGGGUGGCGAUGAGGUGUGGGUAGGGGAGAAAUUCCAAUCGAACCCGGAGAUAGCUGGUUCUCCUCGAAAUAGCUUUAGGGCUAGCCUCAUUUUAGUCUUAUGGAGGUAGAGCACUGAAUUUCCGCGGGGGCGUCAAAGCUUACCAAAGAAUAUCAAACUCCGAAUGCCAUGUAGAUGAUGAAUGGGAGUCAGACUGCACGAGAUAAGUUGGGUGGUCAAAAGGGAAAGAGCCCAGACCUACAGCUAAGGUCCCAAAGUGCGUGUUAAGUGGAAAAGGAUGUGGGAUUUCAAAGACAACCAGGAUGUUGGCUCAGAAGCAGCCAUACAUUCAAAGAGUGCGUAACAGCUCACUGGUCGAGAGGUCCUGCGCCGAAAAUGUCCGGGGCUGAAACACGACACCGAAGCUUAGGAAUCACAUAGUGAUUGGUAGAGGAGCAUUCUUAAAACCGACGAAGCUGUACCGGAAGGAGCAGUGGAGGGAUAAGAAGAGAGAAUGCCGGAAUGAGUAGCGAGAGGAAGGUGGGAAUCCUUCCGGCCGAAUAUCUAAGGUUUCCAGAGUAAAGCUGAUCUGCUCUGGGUAAGUCGGGGCCUAAGGAGAGGUCGAAAGACGUAUCCGAUGGACAACAGGUUUAGAUUCCUGUACCACAUAUAAACAGAACUGUGGGGACGCAUGUGGAAAGCAUAAGCCGGGAAUGGAAAUACCGGUACAAACGGAAGAGGUGUCAGGCUGGCAAAUCCGCCUGGCAAGCCAAAGACGUGAUGUGGAGCGAAAUAAAAGUAGCGAAGUGUGUGAGCCAUGUGCCGAGAAAAGCCGCUAUUGUUUUAUAUGUGCCCGUACCGUAAACCGACACAGGUGGAUGAGGAGAGAAUCCUAAGGCCGACGGAAGAAGCAUUGUUAAGGAACUCGGCAAAAUGACCCCGUAACUUCGGGAGAAGGGGUGCCCACUUCAGGGUGGGCCGCAGAGAAUAGGCUCAAGCAACUGUUUAGCAAAAACACAGGUCUAUGCGAAACCGUAAGGUGAAGUAUAUGGGCUGACGCCUGCCCGGUGCUGGAAGGUUAAGAGGAGAGGUUAGUCGCAAGAUGAAGCUUUGAAUUUAAGCCCCAGUAAACGGCGGCCGUAACUAUAACGGUCCUAAGGUAGCGAAAUUCCUUGUCGGGUAAGUUCCGACCCGCACGAAAGGCGUAAUGAUUUGAGCACUGUCUCGACAAUGCAUCCGGUGAAAUUGAAGUACCAGUGAAGAUGCUGGUUACCCGCGCCAGGACGGAAAGACCCCAUGGAGCUUUACUCCAGUUUGGUACUGGGAUUCGGUACUGCAUGUACAGGAUAGGUGGGAGACUGAGAAAUUGGAACGCCAGUUUCAAUGGAGUCACUGUUGGGAUACCACCCCUGCAGUAUUGGGUUUCUAACCAGCCGCUGUGAUCCAGCGGUGGGACAAUGCCAGGCGGGGAGUUUGACUGGGGCGGUCGCCUCCGAAAGGGUAUCGGAGGCGCUCAAAGGUUCCCUCAGAAUGGUCGGAAACCAUUU